rnacentral:rRNA from 1 species
UAGUCCACGCCGUAAACGAUGAUAACUAGCUGUCCGGGCUCAUAGAGCUUGGGUGGCGCAGCUAACGCAUUAAGUUAUCCGCCUGGGGAGUACGGUCGCAAGGUUGAAACUCAAAGGAAUUGACGGGGGCCCGCACAAGCGGAGGAGCAUGUGGUUUAAUUCGAUGAUACGCGAGGAACCUUACCUAGGCUUAAAUGUAGAUUGACGAUUCGGGAAACCGGAUUUUCUUCGGACAAUUUACAAGGUUGCUGCAUGGUUGUCGUCAGCUCGUGCCGUGAGAUGUUGGGUUAAGUCCCGCAACGAGCGCAACCCUCGUCACUAGUUACUAACGGUUCGGCCGAGGACUCUAGUGAGACUGCCUUCGCAAGGAGGAGGAAGGUGAGGACGACGUCAAGUCAUCAUGGCCCUUACGGCUAGGGCAACACACGUGCUACAAUGGCCAGGACAAUGAGAAGCGAUACCGCGAGGUGGAGCAAAUCUAUAAACCUGGUCUCAGUUCGGAUUGUAGU